rnacentral:rRNA from 1 species
GACGAACGCUGGCGGCGUGCUUAACACAUGCAAGUCGAACGGAAAGGCCCUUCGGGGUACUCGAGUGGCGAACGGGUGAGUAACACGUGGGUGAUCUGCCCUGCACUUUGGGAUAAGCCUGGGAAACUGGGUCUAAUACCGAAUAGGACCACGCGCUUCAUGGUGUGUGGUGGAAAGCCUUUGCGGUGUGGGAUGGGCCCGCGGCCUAUCAGCUUGUUGGUGGGGUAAUGGCGUACCAAGGCGACGACGGGUAGCCGGCCUGAGAGGGUGACCGGCCACACGGGGACUGAGAGACGGCCCAGACGCCUACGGGAGGCAGCAGUGGGGAAUAUUGCACAAUGGGCGCAAGCCUGAGGCAGCGACGCCGCGGGAGGGAUGACGGCCUGCGGGUUGUAAACCUCUUUCAGUAGGGACGAAGCGCAAGUGACGGUACCUAUAGAAGAAGCACCGGCCAACUACGUG